AGGGAAGCUUGCUUCCGCUGACGACCGGCGCACGGGUGCGUAACGCGUAUGCAACCUACCUCAUACUGGAGAAUAGCCCUUGGAAACGAGGAUUAAUGCUCCAUAGUAUCACAGAUUCGCAUGUUUUGUGAUUAAAGAAUUUCGGUAUGAGAUGGGCAUGCGUCCCAUUAGCUUGUUGGUGAGGUAACGGCUCACCAAGGCAACGAUGGGUAGGGGCCUGAGAGGGUGACCCCCACACUGGUACUGAGACACGGACCAGACUCC
rnacentral:rRNA from 1 species